rnacentral:rRNA from 1 species
UACGAGAGGUACAAGCGUUAUUCGGAAUAAUUGGGCGUAAAGGGCGCGUAGACGGUGUGUUAAGUUUGUUGUUAAAGCCCUCAGCUCAACUGAGGAUCGGCAACGAAAACUGGCAUGCUAGAGUAUGGAAGAGAGAAGUGGAAUUCUUGGAGUAGCGGUAAAAUGCGUAGAUCUCAAGAGGAACACCGAUGGCGAAGGCAGCUUCUUGGUCCACUACUGACGUUGAGGCGCGAAAGCGUGGGGAGCAAACAGG